rnacentral:rRNA from 1 species
AGGACGAACGCUGGCGGCGUGCCUAACACAUGCAAGUCGAGCGGGGACAUGCGACGGAUCGGAAGUUUUCGGAUGGAAGAGAAGAUGUAUGUUCUAGCGGCGGACGGGUGAGUAACGCGUGAACAAUCUGUCCUUCACAGGGGGAUAACACAGCGAAAGUUGUACUAAUACCGCAUGAGACCACGGUAGGGCAUCCUACAGGGGUCAAAGGAGCAAUCCGGUGAAGGGUGAGUUCGCGUCCGAUUAGAUAGUUGGUGAGGUAACGGCCCACCAAGUCGACGAUCGGUAGCCGACCUGAGAGGGUGAUCGGCCACAUUGGGACUGAGACACGGCCCAAACUCCUACGGGAGGCAGCAGUGGGGAAUAUUGGGCAAAUGGGGGAAACCCUGACCCAGCAACGCCGCGUGAGGGAAGAAGGUUUUCGGAUCGUAAACCUCUGUCCUUGGUGAAGAGGAAGAGACGGUAGCCAAGGAGGAAGCCCCGGCUAACUACGUGCCAGCCGCGGC